UACGUAGGGGGCGAGCGUUGUCCGGAAUUAUUGGGCCUAAAGAGCUCGUAGGCGGUUACGCAAGUCGGGUGGGAAAUCUCCAGGCUCAACCUGGAGCCUUCGCUCGAUACUGCGUUGACUAGAGUCCGGUAGGGGAGUGUGGAAUUCCCGGUGUAGCGGUGAAAUGCGCAGAUAUCGGGAGGAACACCGGCGGCGAAGGCGGCACUCUGGGCCGGUACUGACGCUGAGGAGCGAAAGCGUGGGGAGCAAACAGG
rnacentral:rRNA from 1 species